ACACAUGCAAGUCGAGGGGCAGCAUGAUUUGUAGCAAUACAGAUUGAUGGCGACCGGCGCACGGGUGAGUAACGCGUAUGCAACUUACCUAUCAGAGGGGGAUAGCCCGGCGAAAGUCGGAUUAAUACCCCAUAAAACAGGGGUCCCGCAUGGGAAUAUUUGUUAAAGAUUCAUCGCUGAUAGAUAGGCAUGCGUUCCAUUAGGCAGUUGGCGGGGUAACGGCCCACCAAACCGACGAUGGAUAGGGGUUCUGAGAGGAAGGUCCCCCACAUUGGUACUGAGACACGGACCAAACUCCUACGGGAGGCAGCAGUGAGGAAUAUUGGUCAAUGGCCGAGAGGCUGAACCAGCCAAGUCGCGUGAAGGAAGAAGGAUCUAUGGUUUGUAAACUUCUUUUAUAGGGGAAUAAAGUGGAGGACGUGUCCUUUUUUGUAUGUACCCUAUGAAUAAGCAUCGGCUAACUCCGUGCCAGCAGCCGCGGUAAUACGGAGGAUGCGAGCGUUAUCCGGAUUUAUUGGGUUUAAAGGGUGCGUAGGUGGUGAUUUAAGUCAGCGGUGAAAGUUUGUGGCUCAACCAUAAAAUUGCCGUUGAAACUGGGUUACUUGAGUGUGUUUGAGGUAGGCGGAAUGCGUGGUGUAGCGGUGAAAUGCAUAGAUAUCACGCAGAACUCCGAUUGCGAAGGCAGCUUACUAAACCAUAACUGACACUGAAGCACGAAAGCGUGGGGAUCAAACAGGAUUAGAUACCCUGGUAGUCCACGCAGUAAACGAUGAUUACUAGGAGUUUGCGAUACAAUGUAAGCUCUACAGCGAAAGCGUUAAGUAAUCCACCUGGGGAGUACGCCGGCA
rnacentral:rRNA from 1 species